rnacentral:lncRNA from 10 species
GACUCCCUUCCGACUCCGCGCCUGCGCAGGAAGCGAUUUGGGGAGUGUUGUGAAUUCCGAGGGCUCCACACUUAAGAGGUUGUACACUCACCUGUCUACCUGGACUCCAAUUUCCAUAUUUCCAGCCACUUGAGGACUGAGAGGUGGAUGAUAAACCCUGUCAUAGUGGAGCAAGUUCAGGUGUUUAACCGCUGUUAUGGGGGAUCUGCCUUUUCUCCCUCUUCUUUCUUACUUCCAUAAGUAUGUAUGUGCAGAGAUUGAAAAAUAACCUUGAGAGAGUCCAUCCAUCUAACUCCAGGCUGGAGUGCAGUGGCGUGAUUUUGGCUCACUGUAUCCUUCGCCUCCCUGGCUCAAGUGAUUCUCCUGCCUCAGCCUCCCAAGUAGCUUGGAUUACAGAGGUUGUUGGCUUCCAUCAGGGGUGGUCAUUUCCAAUCAGACACCUAAGAACUCCUGCUAAUGGGCAAUGAUGGAGGCACAUUCUAGAUGGAGGCACAUUCUAGAAACGCUUGAAACUGUGUGUUGCUUUGGACA